GUCCUUGUCGAUUAGUGGUUAGAUCAUCACGUUGUGGUUACACAAAACCGUGAAGACGGAGGCUCGAAUCCUCCCUGGGACA